GAUGAACGCUAGCGGGAGGCUUAACACAUGCAAGUCGAAGGGCAGCAUUAUCGCUUGCGAUAGAUGGCGACUGGCGAACGGGUGCGUAACGCGUAUGCAACCUACCCUCAACUGGAGGAUAGCCCAGAGAAAUUUGGAUUAAUACUCCAUAGUAUUACAGAUUCGCAUGUUUUUGUAAUUAAAGUUUUAAUGGUUGAGGAUGGGCAUGCGUGACAUUAGUUUGUUGGUGAGGUAAUGGCUCACCAAGACUACGAUGUCUAGGGGUUCUGAGAGGAUGAUCCCCCACACUGGUACUGAGACACGGACCAGACUCCUACGGGAGGCAGCAGUGAGGAAUAUUGGACAAUGGAGGCAACUCUGAUCCAGCCAUCCCGCGUGCAGGAAGACAGCCCUAUGGGUCGUAAACUGCUUUUAUACAGGAAUAAACCCCUCUACGUGUAGAGGGCUGAAGGUACUGUAAGAAUAAGGACCGGCUAACUCCGUGCCAG
rnacentral:rRNA from 1 species